rnacentral:lncRNA from 1 species
AAGGUACUGAAGUAGAGUUCUGGCUGUUCCUUACGGACAUCUCUGGUGAAUAAUCUGAGAAGGCCUCACUUAUAAUUUGGCUUGAAGAAAACACGAGAGCAAGUCAUGCAAUGUUCAAGUAAGAGUGCAGCAGUCAGAAGAAAAAGCUAUGCAAGGGCCCUAAGGUUGAAAGUGUUCUUAGUGUCUUUGAGAAACAUCAAGGAAUGUGCAAAAGGCAGAAUGAUAGAAGAUGAGAUCAGAGAGGGGAAGUAAAUUCAACAACAGAAAUUGAGGAUGAGGAACAUGGUGUUGCAGUUCAAACCAGUUCCAGCCAAAAUGGACUCUAGUCACAAACAAAUAGUAAUAACAAUCCAAACUUGUGGCUGAAUAGAGUUCUGAAGUUUUGAGAAAGAGUUGGGAUCCAGAGAACCUUCCCCUUCUGAGCAGCAAAACCAAAUAAAGCAGUUCUCAGGAUACAAAGACAAGACUGAGGAAGAUCCUAAUAAGGUGUUGCAAGGUGACACAGGACAAACUUUGUCCAAAGGAAAUUGAUCUGACAAGAACUUCUGGACUUGUCAGUUCUUAGGGCUGACUGGUCUAUCCUCUUUCUAUUGACUUUGGCUUACUAGACUCAAGCAGAAAGUGACAAGGGAAGAAAAGGAUACAAACAGAAGCAAGUUUCCAAGAACAAGGUUUACAUCAGGAAGAGCCAAUCAAAGAUCAUAUCUGGAGGACUGCUGCAAAGUUGUGAUAAAUGACCAAAUAGUAUUUUUAUAGAAGGUGGAAUGAAUGACAGACUAAAGAUUUCAGCUGAUUAAAGAAAUUAUGGAGUGCAUCAUUCUCAGUUUAUAUUGAACUGGGGUUCCUGAGAAAUUCCUCCUUAUAAAUUUACAUGGAAAUUAUAAUUUUUACUAGUUGAUUUCAGUUAAUUAGCCUACUGAA